rnacentral:lncRNA from 1 species
AUAACUGUGGGAGAAUAGUAAGCAUUGGACACAAAAUGGUUUAGGCAAAUAAUGAUGAACAAAAAUGGUCAGUCUGUGUUCCUGCUGACCCAGCACAGUGGGGACGCUGUGUAGGACAUGACCUUUGGGGGAAAGGACACAAGAACUCAGCGUGGGGGAUCCAGAAAAGAAGUCGCACGUAUUGAAGCCAGUAACGCCAAGCCAGUGAAUUCUCCUUGACGAGAAAGACCCACUUACUCUGCAGAAGAGAUAUAUGACAGCUGACAAUCCCUGGAGGAGAAUCUUUCUACUAAAUUGGUAAGGGAUGCUAAGCAAAUGAUGUGGACUCAGGAAACAACGCAUUUCAUGAUAUACGGUUGCCUCUCAAGGUGAAUUCGAGACCCCUCUUGAAUUACAAAGAGUUGAAAACAUUCAAGUACGGAAUAAACUAUUACUGCGAAUACGCUCAUAUGACACAAGAACAAUCUCUGAGCUUCUUUGAGGAUGUCCAGAUGACUGCUGACUGCACUAAUUGCAUCAAUCGUGUAUCCAUACAGGCCUGCCACAAGAAUACGAAGGCCAGAGCUCCAGCAGCUGUUGGAGCCACGAUGUGACCCUGAAGGCAGGAAACUCAGCUUUGGAAGUAACUCCAGGUUGAAGAACUUCUACUUAUAGGCAUCUAUUCAACGAAGACGAAUCCUGGAAUGGGGAUGGAAAUGAUGGCUCAUGUCUUAGCAAACUACCAGUACGUCUACUAGAACCGGAACUGAUCCGAGAGGACAGGGAAGUCAGUGUGGGCGGCUCUAAGGAGCCUCCCUCUCUACAGCUGCGGCUCAGAGGAUUACGGCGCUUCAUCCACAAGGCAACAUUGCACAAGUAGCUUUUGAACAAAAGUCAUGGAUACUAUUAAUGAUAUGGUAAUCCUUAAUCGAGCUACCUCCCAGUAGUGAUUAUACUGACAUGGGAAGAAUAUCUAAGUCGUGGAGGCAGCCCACAACAACACUGUGUCAUUGUUCACCCCGGGCUCGACCAGGACUAACUUUUACCAGCAUCUCUAACGUCACCUUUCCCCUGAUGCCUCCCCACAACCCCUGGCCCCAGCUCCCAUUCCCGCCCCAUCAUAGCAAAAAAGUAGCAAAGAAAACCCUGAUCCUAAA